rnacentral:tRNA from 1 species
CGCGGGGUGGAGCAGCCAGGUAGCUCGUUGUGCUCAUAACCCAAAGGUCGGAGGUUCAAAUCCUCCCCCCGCUACCA